CAGCCUACACCACCCCAUUUCACUUCCCAUGCUGAGCCUUCCAGUGCCAGAGGAAGAGCUGGUGCUGGAUCUAGAUCUCAGUGCCCUAGAAAAGGAAAUUCUGUGGAAGGAGGAGGAAUCAGUUGAGUUUGUGCUUGGAAUUCUGACACACUGCAACUUACCAGAUAUCUGAC